CAAGAGCGUAUGUAAAAGUUGUUGCAGUUAAAAAGCUCGUAGUUGAACCUUGGGUUUGGUUGGCCGGUCCGCUUUUUUGCGAGUACUGGAUUCAACCGAGCCUUUCCUUCUGGCUAACCAGUCGUUUCGGCGGCUGGCGAACCAGGAUUUUUACUUUGAGAAAAUUAGAGUGUUCAAAGAAGGCAUUAGCUUGAAUAUAUUAGCAUGGAAUAAUAGAAUAGGACGUUAUGGUUCUAUUUUGUUGGUUUCUAGGACCAUCGUAAUGAUUAAUAGGGACGGUCGGGGGCAUCAGUAUUCAGUUGUCAGAGGUGAAAUUCUUGGAUUUACUGAAGACUAACUACUGCGAAAGCAUUUGCCAAGGACGUUUUCAUUAA
rnacentral:rRNA from 1 species